AGGCCCCUCGCAAAGUCUCGCGGCAUUCCGAGUCCGGCGGACGAAGUUGGCCAGCCCCACCCCCCAAGGCUAUAGCCCACCCGUUUUUGUGGCCUUUUUCCGCUGGACGAACUUGGCGCCCCGGCCUUCGGGCGGUUAUUUUUGGGCGCGGCUUUGCCCGCGGCCUAUUUUUGGCACACGGAGGCCCCUCGUAAAGUCUCGCGGCAUUCCGAGUCCGGCGGACGAAGUUGGCCAGCCCCACCCCCCAAGGCUAUAGCCCACCCGUUUUUGUGGCCUUUUUCCGCUGGACGAACUUGGCGCCCCGGCCUUCGGGCAGUUAUUUUUGGGCGCGGCUUCGUCCGCGGCCUACUUUUGGCACACGGAGGCCCCUCGUAAAGUCUCUAGGCAUUCCGAGUCCGGCGGACGAAGUUGGCCAGAUCCACCCCCCAAGGAUAUAGCCCACCCGUUUUUGUGGCCUUUUUCCGCUGGACGAACUUGGCGCCCCUGCCUUCGGGUGGUUAUUUUUGGGCGCGGCUUUGCCCGUGGCCUAUUUUUGGCACACGGAGGCCCGUCGUAAAUUCUCGCGGCAUUCCGAGUCUGGCUGACGAAGUUGGCCAGCCCCACCCCCCAAGGCUCUAGCCCACCCGUUUUUGUGGCCUUUUUCCGCUGGACGACUUGGCGCCCCGCCCUUCGGGCAGUUAUUUUUGGACGCGGCUUUGCCCGCGGCCUAUUUUUGGUACACGGAGGCCCCUCGCAAAGUCUCGCGGCAUUCCGAGUCCGGCGGACGAAGUUGGCCAGCCCCACCCCCCAAGGCUAUAGCCCACCCGUUUUUGUGGCCUUUUUCCGCUGGACGAACUUGGCGCCCCUGCCUUCGGGCGGUUAUUUUUGGGCGCGGCUUUGCCU
rnacentral:lncRNA from 1 species